GGCUGGCUAUCAUGUGUUUGAAGAUACCCUAAACUUAACCUUAGAAAACCCAAAACAGUUACUAUAGGUCUUGACUCAGAAAAUUCAUAUAUGCUUCCUUACUAAUGAGACUUUCUAUACAACAAAGUGAGGUCAUUCUUUGUUGAUUUAUACCAUAAGGGGCUGGCUAUCAUGUGUUUGAAGAUACCCAAAACUUAACCUAACAAAACCCAAAACAGUUACAAUAGGUCUUGACUCAGAAAAUUCAUAAAUGCUUCCUUACUAAUGAGACUUUCUAUAAAACAAAGUAAAGUCAUUCUUUGUUGAUUUACACCAUAAGGGGCUGGCUAUCAUGUGUUUGAAGAUACCCUAAACUUAACCUAACAAAACCCAAAACAGUUACAAUAGGUCUUGACUCAGAAAAUUCAUAUAUGCUUCCUUACUAAUGAGACUUUCUAUACAACAAAGUGAGGUCAUUCUUUGUUGAUUUAUACCAUAAGGUGCUGGCUAUCGUGUUUGAAGAUACCCAAAACUUAACCUUACAAAACCCAAAACAGUUACAAUAGGUCUUGACUCAGAAAAUUCAUAUAUGCUUCCUUACUAAUGAGACUUUUUAUACAACAAAGUGAGGUCAUUCUUUGUUGAUCUAUACCAUAAGGUGCUGGCUAUCAUGUUUGAAGAUACCCAAAACUUAACCUAACAAAACCCAAAACAGUU